CUAGUAUAUUUGGUGUAUGAAAGGACUGGAAGGUGUACAUGUCCAACUGGCAGGUGUCAUCUGACCUUGACCUCAUUUUCAUGGUUCAGUGGUUAUAGUUAAGUUUUUGUGUUUUGGUCUGUUUUUCUCAUACUUUAUGCAAUAGGUCUACUAUAUUUGUUGUAUGGAAUGAUUGUAAGGUGUACAUGUCUAGCGGGCAGAUGUCAUCUGACCUUGACCUCAUUUUCAUGGUUCAGUGGUCAAAGUUAAGUUUUUAAGUUUUGAUCUUUUUAUCUAAUAUUAUAUGCCAAAGGUCAACUAUAUUUGGUGUAUGGAAAUAUAUUAUGAUCUAUAUGUCAGUCCCGCAGG
rnacentral:lncRNA from 1 species